ensembl:lncRNA
GAGAUGGAGAAGAUGCCUGUGUACAGAGCCUCAAUCCUCAGUGUGACUGGAGACAUCCUCUGCAUUGAUGGUACAAAAAAGGUCCUUAAGAAGAUAUAUGGUGAUGGCCAGGGCACCAUGCAGUAUGUCACCAGUGUGCUGAACGAGUGGGGCCAGUUCUUGACCACAGUGGUGGUGGCAGCUGAGUCUGAGGGGUGCUACAGACGUAUGGCCAAAGGUCUGAUGGCCCGCUUUGAACGAGCUAGGGCUCCUGCACCAACUUUCAUAUAUGCAGAUAACAACUGUUGUCGUGACAGUGGUUCGUCCUUCCUGGAGAAUCUGUUUGGGGACUGGGUGCAGAAGGGCACUGUGGUCAGACUGGACAUCCGACACUGGCUGCACCGCUGGGAUGCUGUUGUCAUCAAACAGAGCCAUGCCAAGUAUGGGGUGUUCAUGAGUGCCCUUGCAGGUGCAGUCCUGGCAUACUACAAGGACGGUAUGAUGCUUCUAAUCCAGGCAGUCAGGAAGGGCAACCAGGAGUUGUACGCCAGUCUUUCAGACGAGGACAUGAUAGCCUUCCUCAAACCUCACCAGAUCAGGUCCUAUGUCAGAUGGAUCACCCGUGGAGUUGAGGUUAAGUGUAAUAUUAAUCCUUGUAUAAUCUUUAUGUAUAAGAAGCUCAAA